rnacentral:rRNA from 1 species
UACGAGGGGGGCAAGCGUUGUCCGGAAUUAUUGGGCGUAAAGAGCUUGUAGGUGGCUCGUUGCGUCGGGAGUGAAAACCUGCGGCUUAACCGCAGGCCUGCUUCCGAUACGGGCGAGCUAGAGUUCGGCAGGGGAGACUGGAAUUCCUGGUGUAGCGGUGGAAUGCGCAGAUAUCAGGAGGAACACCGGUGGCGAAGGCGGGUCUCUGGGCCGAUACUGACACUGAGAAGCGAAAGCGUGGGGAGCGAACAGG